AUCCACCCACCUCGGGCUCCCAAGGUGCUGGGAUUACAGGCGUGAGCCACCGCGCCCGGCCAAAACAAACACUUUUACGACAAUUGAAAAAUAGAAGUUUCCAAUUCAAUUUUGCAACUAAAAAAUAAUAAUAAUGUGGUGCCUUCAUGUUAAACUUUGGAAAAAGCCAGGGAAGUGGCUUGCUCUGGUGAAUAAAUUCUGUAGACCCUUAAGGCUGUUCGCAGCGUACACCAAGACUUCCGAGGCAAGUGGGGGCUCCCCCUGGCGGCUGCGCCGGGUGGCUGCUCCGGGAUUGUGCGGACCUCCGAGCUACACCGUCUCCAACCAACAGAAGCCAGCAGGAACCUGCCUUAGAUGUGGGAAUGAGACAACACAACUUCUCCCAUAGGCCUGGUGGUCAGAGAGGCUGGAUCAAGAAUCUCCACAGCCCAGCGAGAAGCCACGCGAACACACCCCUGUGUGGGUAUCCGUGACCUGGCGGCCUGCAGAACUCCUGGGCCAGAGACGUCCUCAUCCUGUUGGAAUAUCCAGGUAUCUCCACUCCGAAUAUCCUCAUCUUCCUGGAACCCCUCUUUUUCUCCUAACAUUCUCUUAAAUGAAAUUCCAUAUCUGCUACAACACAGAAAGAGAGGCGGAACAAGAAAAACUGGUGAUCCACUAAUAAGAAGGCCCUGGAGCCUCUCGAUGUUUAAUCUUCUCAAGGGAUGAGAAUGUGUCUCGUACUUCUCAGCAUCUGAAACGCAGCCUUCGCUAAUGGGUCAGUUUCACUGGACGUACUCCCAGGAUCAUAGAUGGCAGCCGGGGAAGGCAGUGAGGGUGGAAAUGUCUCACUAGGCUGAAUUGAAGUGAGGCCUACCCGUUGCCUCCUUUGCAUGUGUUUAAGUAUUAGAAGAAUCUAGUAAUUUGCCCAUAAGAGAUAAUCAAACAAGAAAACAAAGGUGUAUGUGCAAAGAUUUGAAUCUUAGCUUUAUUUGAAAUAACAGAAAAUUGGAAGUCAAUUCAUGUCCAUCAGCGUGGGGCUGGCCACCUGCCAAUUCAUGUCCAUUUCCCUGGAGGGAAAUGACCCAACCAUGGAGAGAACGAUGUUCACUGAUUGCAUUGGCGUGGCAAGAACUCCAUGGCAUGUUGCAUCAUGAAGAAAGCUGCCCCGCAAAAUGAGAUGCGAUUGACGUUGAUGUGUCUGUACUUGUGCAAAGAGAGAUUUGGGAAAGGAAGUUUACUGAAGUGUUAACAAUGGGUUACAAGUUUUGAAGUGAUUUUAAUUUCUUUUUUUUUAAGUUUCUGUUAGGCUGGGAUUUUCCCCAUAGAUAUGCAUCAUCUAUGUCAGCAAUCCCCAACCUUUUGGGCACCAGGACAGGUUUCGUGAAAGACAAUUUUUCCACGGACCAGGAGUGGGAGGGACGGUUUCAGGAUGAUUCAAGCACAUUACGUUUAUCAUUAGAUUCUCACAAGGAGCAUGCAAGCUAGAUCCCUUGCAUGCCCAGUUCACAAUAGGGUUCGUGCUCCUAUGAGAAUCUGAUGUUGCCACUGGUCUGACAGGAGGUGGAGCUCAGCUUCGCUCACUUGCCCCACCACUCACCUCCUGCUGUGCAGCCCAGUUCCUAACAGGCCACAGACCAGUAUACCAGUCUGUCACCUGGGGGUUGGGGAUCCCUGAUUUUUGUAAUUGGAAGUAAAGUUGUUCGCAUUACUUUAAAAUAAAGACAGUACCAUCGUUAUAAAGUAUUCUCUAAGUGCAAUCAUAGGGAAAAGUUCUGCUGAAAACUCUAGGGAUGGUUAGUCGUUUUAGGGAAAUACGGGGAACUAGAUGGAUUCUGGUUUUUAUUUAUCUUCCUUCAAAACAGCUACUAGUAAUCUGCAGAAAAGAUGCAUGGGAAAUAAACCAGGAAAACUGAG
rnacentral:lncRNA from 1 species